rnacentral:rRNA from 1 species
CACCGGCGGCUCGAGUGGUGGCCACUUUUAUUGGGUCUAAAACGUCCGUAGCCGGCUUGGCAAGUCCCCUGGGAAAUCUGGCGGCUUAACCGUCAGGCGUCCAGAGGAUACUGCCAGGCUUGAGACCGGGAGAGGUGAGAGGUACCUCAGGGGUAGGGGUGAAAUCUUGUGAUCCCUGAGGGACCACCAGUGGCGAAGGCGUCUCACUAGAACGGGUCCGACGGUCAGGGACGAAAGCUGGGGGCACGAACCGG